AAGUAAGGACUUUAAAAUCACCAAAUUACAUUUAGACCCUCUUGAUUUUAUUUUUUUUCGGCUGUUUAUCCAAGUGAGAUGGUUUGAUGUGUAACUAUAUAUGUUUGGGAUGAUAGGUAUUCUGGUCAAAGUAAGUUGGAUGGUACAAAAUAUCCGUUACUGCACCCAAGUGUAGUAUGAGAGAAAAGUGAGGAACGGAUCGCG
rnacentral:lncRNA from 1 species